rnacentral:lncRNA from 1 species
UUCGUACACCCUGAAACUGAGGAGUGUUAUUUAAUGUUUCUGGGUGGCCGCCAGUUUGGGCAAGAGCCAGGUGACAUUUAAAGCCUCUGAUGGCUUGAAUGACCUGAGAUCCUGUUUUUUUUUUUUUUUUUUUUUUUUUUCCCUGUGAAAGUAUGGGUGUUAGUCCAAGAUCUUCCUUCAGCCUUUGCCAAGAAUCAAUGAAACUGGUUUUUGACCUGCCAUGGCUGACUGGAGUUAGGUUUUCACCCAUCGUGGGCAUUUGUAUGCUAUUUUCUUUAGAGAGGGGGAGAAGCAUUACAUUUUUUUUUUUAAAUGUCCUGACACCUUUGCUUGCUUCAGUAUCAGCGCUGCAGCUCGCGAGGCACACAAUGCCUUGCGCGCGCGCAUGAUAAGAACUGAAACUAUUCAUUGACAUUAUGGCAGGGCUAUUUUGAAAACAUUAUCUCAUUUCAUUUCCUAGAACAUCAUCAAGUCUCUGCAGCAUCAGUUUCUUUAAAGAGAAGGGCUAUUUUUGUUCCAACGGAAGCCAAAAUAUUUGAGCAAAUUUUGCCCCCAGUUCCGCUAGCUUCCUUCCCCUACGUUGUGGCUCACACUGGCGCUUUUUAGCAAGCUCUCUUGAGGCAGAAUCAGCGUAGUGCAAGGAUUUGAAGUCAUCGGCCAUCCCGACUCUUUAUGCAGUAGGAGACUUGGGAGUGCUCUCCUGUAGGAUCCAAGACUUCUCAUCUUUCCGAUGCGAACUGAAUUAUGCUAGCAUGUCAACCAGGACAUUUCAGAGAAGCAUCGAAACGUGUUAGUAAACCUCUUACCAGAACACCCUCACUAUCGAUUUUUUUUUGUCACUAAAACACAAACCAGCAUGGGACAUUAAACAGGACCUUUGGUAUUUGGUGUUGGGAAAAUGCCCCCUUGGAUCUAGAGCUCUUUAGGAGUAAUGGCUUCCCGAAAAGAACUAUAGAGAAAAAGAAGGCAGAAUAACCCAGGUGCCUGAGCAUCUUUGAGGAGGUAAGGAAAACUCUUUACUCUUUGCUGUUUGUGAGCUCUGAAUCACCAAUUGUUUGCUAGUCAGGCUUCCCCAUUUGCCAGGAAGGAUCAAUAAUGUAAUUGGAAUGACCCUGCACUCAACUGUCCCUGCCUUCUGAUGCCCGCCUCCCCUCUCUGAUCAGAAGGCCUCCUCACUGGGGACACUGAAAGCUGAAUAGUUCAGGGACAGAGCGAGGCAUUACUGCAUUCCUGUCCAGUGAAAGGCAGACUCUCUGGAGAGCCUUUCCUCUGUUUUGUUUUGUGUGUUUUCAAGGAGUCUGGAGAGGGUGUUUAUGUCGUGGUGCACGUUCCCCAUUUGGCAUCUCGAUGGCGAAGCAGAGAGCUUUCUUGUUGUCCAUGUCCUCUGUGAUUUGAACUUGUGAUGAUUCUUCAGCUAGCUCUGUCCUUCAUCUAGAAAAUUAGUGUUGCAUUAUGAAGCCCAAAAGAGUUUUCCUAGCCACCACAUAGCAGUACGUAUAAUAACUUAAAUGUUCUACAGAAAAGGCAUUCCCCCAGCGUGGGUGAGUGGAAGAAUAGGCUCAUCAAGUUGUUCAGGCUUUGCAGAUUAGAGUUCCAGUUUCGUGAAAUCUCCCAUGGUUCAUACCUGGAAUCAGCUCCAAAACAUUUUCGAAAUUGGAACACUGAGCAUUCUCUAUGGGCUUGCAGUCAUUUCAAAAUAAUAUCCCUUAAUUAUGUGUCAUGGAUUGUUUGAUGAGUAUCUGCUGGGUUUGGCAUAUGUCAUUAGCCAUGAACAAUUGUACCUGGCUGUUUUUAAUUAUACCAGCUUUAUGCUUACAGUAGCCAUGGGAGGAAAACAAAAGAUUUUGCUGAGCGGGAGCAUUUUGCUUUUUAAAAAAUAUUUAUUUUGUUUUUGAUGCUCCUGCAGCCAAUCCACUCUUGCUAGGCAGUCCACUCUUCAGUUCAGUAUGGCCUUGAACUCAUGUCCCCCUGCCUUAGACUUUAGGGUGCUUGGGUCACACAUAUCUCCCUUUAAAGUUUUAUCUAUCUAUCUAUCUAUCUAUCUAUCUAUCUAUCUAUCUAUCUAUCUAUCUAUCUAUCUAUCUAUCUAUCUAUCUAUCAUACCUAUCUAUCUAUCUAUCUAUCUAUCUAUCUAUCUAUCUAUCCAACAUCUAUCUAUAUCUUAUCUAUCCCUAUCUACCUAUCUAUUUAUCUACCUAUUAUCUAUCAUCUAUCUACCUAUGCCCCCUCCUCCCCCUGAAAGAUUUUUUUCUUCUACAGCAGGCUAUGCUGCUCAGUCUAAUCCCCUACUUCUGCAUUUCCCCAUCCCUGGCUGCUGUUACUUUCUCCAUGAAAAAUUGUGAAAGGUCUAAGCCAAUUAAGAUCAUUUGAUUUCCUCGUCAGCAAUUGGUUCAAAGAUGUCCAUGUGACACAGUUCUACCCAAUGAGAUGUGAAAGAAGCUUGUCUGGCAUGUUUCUGGGAAUGGCUUCUUGGCUGAUGGAACUAGGUCCUUAGAAAAAUGAUCUCAGCCAGGCAGGCUGUGGUGGCACACUCCUCUAAUCUCACUGGGAGUGAGGGAGGUGGGAGAGGGGCAAGGGGCGAGGGGCAAGGGGCGAGGUGCAAGGGGCGAGGGGAGGAGAGGAUAGAGGGGAGAGGGGACAGGGGAGAGGGAGAGGGAGAGGGAGAGGGAGAGACUCUGCAUUUCCCACCCAAUAUCAAUCAGUACUGUCGAGGUCUAUGACAGUACUAACUGAGAGACUUAGCUUCUGAGAGGAACUAGUUGGUGACUACAGAGGGUACAGCUGAAAGAAGGACUCAACCGGGGUCUUUGGUCCUCCUUAG